UACGGAGGGAGCAAGCGUUCUCCGGACUCACUGGGUUUAAAGGGGGCGUCGGCGGCUUGAUGAGGCAGGGGUGAAAGCCCGCAGCUUAACUGCGGAACUGCCUUUGAUACUGUCGUGCUUGAAAGAGGUUGAGGUCAGCGGAACGUGACAUGAAGCGGUGAAAUGCAUAGAUAUGUCACAGAACACCGAUUGCGAAGGCAGCUGGCUGGACCUACUUUGACGCUGAGGCGCGAAAGCGUGGGGAGCGAACAGG
rnacentral:rRNA from 1 species